rnacentral:siRNA from 1 species
ACCCCUGGUCGAGUAUCAUCACU